UGAGGAAGCUCAGGACUCUGACCUAGAC
rnacentral:piRNA from 1 species